rnacentral:rRNA from 1 species
GACGAACGCUGGCGGCGUGCCUAAUACAUGCAAGUCGAACGAGAGCGACCGGUGCUUGCACUGGUCAAUCUAGUGGCGAACGGGUGAGUAACACGUGGGUAACCUGCCCAUCAGAGGGGGAUAACAUCCGGAAACGGAUGCUAAAACCGCAUAGGUCUUCGAGCCGCAUGGCUCGAAGAGGAAAAGAGGCGCAAGCUUCUGCUGAUGGAUGGACCCGCGGUGCAUUAGCUAGUUGGUGAGGUAACGGCUCACCAAGGCCGUGAUGCAUAGCCGACCUGAGAGGGUGAUCGGCCACAUUGGGACUGAGACACGGCCCAAACUCCUACGGGAGGCAGCAGUAGGGAAUCUUCCGCAAUGGACGCAAGUCUGACGGAGCAACGCCGCGUGAGUGAAGAAGGUUUUCGGAUCGUAAAACUCUGUUGUUAGAGAAGAACAAGUGCUAGAGUAACUGUUAGCGCCUUGACGGUAGCUAACCAGAAAGCCACGGCUAACUACGUG